rnacentral:rRNA from 1 species
UACAGAGGUGGCGAGCGUUGUCCGGAUUUACUGGGUGUAAAGGGUGUGUAGGCGGAUUUGCAAGUCGAGGGUUAAAGCCCUUCGCUCAACGAAGGAAGUGCUCUCGAUACUGCAAGUCUAGAGUGCCGGAGGGGAGGCUGGAAUUUCCGGUGUAGCGGUGGAAUGUGUAGAGAUCGGAAGGAACACCAGUGGCGAAGGCAGGUCUCUGGCCGGCAACUGACGCUGAGGCACGAAAGCGUGGGGAGCAAACAGG